rnacentral:ncRNA from 19 species
AGUAUAAUAAGACGUUAUGGUUUUUAUAAAUUAAAAGGGAAUUAAGUGAAAAGCUUAAACGGUCACGCCACUGUAAAAUGGACAAAAAUAGAUAAACCACUGGGAAACUGGGAAGGGCUAUUGGAGGAUGAAGUUGAGUCAGGAUACCUGCCAUAAAAAUAAACUGCGAG